rnacentral:tRNA from 1 species
GGCGAGGUGGCGGAAUGGCAGACGCGGCGGUCUCAAACACCGUUGAUGAACAAUCGUAAGGGUUCAAAUCCCUUCCUCGCUACCA